UACGGGGGGGGCAAGCGUUGUUCGGAAUUACUGGGCGUAAAGGGUUCGUAGGUGGCCCGCUAAGUCACACGUGAAAUCCCUCAGCUUAACCGGGGAACUGCGUCUGAUACUGGAUGGCUUGAGUUUGGGAGAGGGAUGCGGAAUUCCAGGUGUAGCGGUGAAAUGCGUAGAUAUCUGGAGGAACACCAAUAGCGAAGGCAGCUCGCUGGGACGUUACUGACACUGAGGCGCGAAAGCGUGGGGGAGCGAACAGG
rnacentral:rRNA from 1 species